UCUUCAUUUUAGAUGCCUUUUAUUUCUUUUCCUUGCCUAAUUGCUCUGUCUAGAACUAUGUUGAACAGAGGUGGCAAGUGUGAGCAACCUUGUCUUGUUGCUGGUCUUAGAGGUUAAUUGUUUUCUUGUUCUUUUGUAGUUCCUUUGUGCCUUUCUUCCUCUCUUGCUGUCUUCCUUUAUGAUUUGGUGAUUUUUUGUAGUGUUAUGCUUUGAUUCCUUUCUCUUUAUCUUUUGUACAUAAGGAUAGCUUUGCCAAGUAAUGUGUUCUUGGUUGACAGUUUCUUUUUUUUUUCUUUUAGCACUUUGAAUAUCUAUCUCAUCUCACUCUCUCCUGGCCGGCAAGGUUUGUGUGGAGAAAUCUAUUGAUAGCCUUAUGAGGGUUCCCUGCUAUGUGAUAAGCCUCUUUUGUCUCGUUGCUUUCAAAUGUCUCCGUCUUUGAUUUUUGACAGCAUGAUUCCAGUGUGUCUCAGUGAGGAACCUCUUUUGGUUGAAACUUCAUGUCCUUGGAUGCCAUAUCUGUCCCCAGAUUUGAGAAGUUUUAGCCAUUAUACCUUUAAAUAAGUUUUCUGCCCCUUUCUUUCCUGGUAUUUCUAAGAUUUGUAUAUUUAUUCUCUUGAAGGUGUCUCAUAAAUCCCAUAGGCUUUCUUUAUUCUCUAACAGUUAGAGGAACAAAAAGAAAAAGAAUGAAAAAGAAUAAAGAAAGCCUAUGGGAGCAGUUAUAGAGCCAGAGUUCGGAGUGCAGACAUAUGCCAAGUGGUCGUGGGGCCUGGGUGUGGAGAGGGGGCAUGUACGGAGCGGCUGGGGACUGGGGCCAGGGCAUGCAAGGGGUGGGGUGAGUGGAGGUCACGGUCCCAGGGCAGCACGACCACGGCUCCUUCUUGGAGAGGAGGGCACACGGCAGUGUCUUCCUCUCUAGAGGGUCUGUAGUGGCUGUUGGUUACCUCAGUGGGGAAGCUGCUGGGAUGCCCUGCGGGGCAGGCCACUGGGGUCCACACUGACAAAUCCUAUGAAGGCUGCAGAGCCCACGCAGGGCGACUGAGGUCCUCAGGGACGAAGGCUGCUGGGGUCCCCUGCAGAGCAGGCCCUGGGGGCACGGUGGCUCCGCUGUGUGUCUGACACUGGUAGCCCCCUUCUCUGAGCCCAGCCACCUCCAGACAGCUCUGCUGUGCCAGUCCCCCCAGCAAUCCUCUCUGUGUGGUUAUCCUCCUGUUUGGGCUCCACUGUGUUGCUUUAGGUCCUUAAUUAGACUCUUGAAGCCCUUCCCAGGACUAUUUUUGUUCGUGGAUGGCUGGGAUUUUUUUUGGUGGGGUAUGAAGGCUCAUAUCUCCUACUCCACCAUUUUGCUGAUGUCACUUGUCAUCUAAUUUCUUGUAAGCUAACUGAUAAAUUAUAUAACCAUAUAAUUUAUUACCCCUAGAGAAUUACGCAGAUUUACACUUCACACAUGAAAAUAAUACUACACAGAGCUCAAAGAGCCUACGUGAAGCAGACAGCAUGGAGAAAUCAGAACAGAAACAGCUCUCUGUGGGAAGUCACUGGAGAGUGGAGGAAUCAGUUCACUGAAGCUCAGACCAAGAAGUUUAAUGAAAAUUAUGAGAAAAACAUGGCUGAUAGUUCUCUGUCCUUCUGCAUGGACCUUUAAAGAGCAGCCUCUGUGAAGCAGAAGAGAAACCUGUUUCCAAAAACCACGAAUGGCUCGUGUGAUGUGAUGUCAGGGUUUUUAAACCACGACCUGGACAUUUCAGCCUGAUCUGCCUUUUGGAUGAACCCAGUGUGACUUCAGUUACGCAGCAUUAAGGUGUUUCAUUUUCCUUCUCUCUCUGCAGAAUUUCAGUCUUUAGGUGAAUUUCAAUAUAUCAACAUGUAAUAUAUAAUAUCACACACAUUUUCAUUUCUGUUCCUUCUAUAUAUCCUCUUUCUACCUUCUGUUAUAAUUUUCUUUGAAUUAAAACAUUUAUUUCAAUCUUA